UACGUAGGGCGCGAGCGUUGUCCGGAAUCAUUGGGCGUAAAGAGCUCGUAGGCGGCCUGUCGCGUCUGCUGUGAAAUCCCGGGGCUUAACCCCGGGCGUGCAGUGGAUACGGGCUGGCUGGAGGCAGGCAGGGGAGAACGGAAUUCCCGGUGUAGCGGUGAAAUGCGCAGAUAUCGGGAGGAACACCGGUGGCGAAGGCGGUUCUCUGGGCCUGUACUGACGCUGAGGAGCGAAAGCGUGGGGAGCGAAACAGG
rnacentral:rRNA from 1 species